GCGGCAAGCCUAACACAUGCAAGUCGAGCGGCAGCGGAAGGAAGCUUGCUUCCUUGCCGGCGAGCGGCGGACGGGUGAGUAAGGUAUGGGGAUCUGGCCGAAGGCGGGGGAUAACCACUGGAAACGGUGGCUAAUACCGCAUAAUCUCUAAGGAGCAAAGUGGGGGACCAUUAUGGCCUCACACCUUCGGAUGAACCCAUAUGAGAUUAGCUAGUAGGUGGGGUAAAGGCUCACCUAGGCGACGAUCUCUAGCUGGUCUGAGAGGAUGAUCAGCCACACUGGGACUGAGACACGGCCCAGACUCCUACGGGAGGCAGCAGUGGGGAAUAUUGCACAAUGGGCGCAAGCCUGAUGCAGCCAUGCCGCGUGUAUGAAGAAGGCCUUCGGGUUGUAAAGUACUUUCAGUCGUGAGGAAGGUGUUAAGGUUAAUAGCCUUAGCAAUUGACGUUAGCGACAGAAGAAGCACCGGCUAACUCCGUGCCAGCAGCCGCGGUAAUACGGAGGGUGCGAGCGUUAAUCGAAAUUACUGGGCGUAAAGGGCACGCAGGCGGUUAAUUAAGUUGGAUGUGAAAUCCCCGGGCUUAACCUGGGAAUGGCAUUCAAGACUGGUUAGCUAGAGUCUUGUAGAGGGGGGUAGAAUUCCAUGUGUAACGGUGAAAUGCGUAGAGAUGUGGAGGAAUACCGGUGGCGAAGGCGGCUCCCUGGACAAAGACUGACGCUCAUGUGCGAAAGCGUGGGGAGCAAACAGGAUUAGAUACCCUGGUAGUCCACGCUGUAAACGAUGUCGAUUUGGAGGUUGUGGUCUAGAACUGUGGCCUCCGGAGCUAACGCGUUAAAUCGACCGCCUGGGGAGUACGGCCGCAAGGUUAAAACUCAAAUGAAUUGACGGGGGCCCGCACAAGCGGUGGAGCAUGUGGUUUAAUUCGAUGCAACGCGAAGAACCUUACCUACUCUUGACAUCCAGCGAAGCCUUUAGAGAUAGAGGUGUGCCUUCGGGAGCGCUGAGACAGGUGCUGCAUGGCUGUCGUCAGCUCGUGUUGUGAAAUGUUGGGUUAAGUCCCGCAACGAGCGCAACCCUUAUCCUUUGUUGCCAGCGAUUCGGUCGGGAACUCAAAGGAGACUGCCGGUGAUAAACCGGAGGAAGGUGGGGAUGACGUCAAGUCAUCAUGGCCCUUACGAGUAGGGCUACACACGUGCUACAAUGGCGUAUACAGAGAGAGGCGAGCCUGCGAGGGGAAGCGGAACUCAGAAAGUACGUCAAAGUCCGGAUUGGAGUCUGCAACUCGACUCCAUGAAGUCGGRAUCGCUAGUAAUCGCGGAUCAGCAUGUCGCGGUGAAUCCGUUCCCGGGCCUUGUACACACCGCCCGUCACACCAUGGGAGUGGGUUGCAAAAGAAGUAGGUAGCUUAACCUUUUGGAUGGCGCUUACCACUUUGUGAUUCAUGACUGGGGUGAAGUCGUAACAAGGUAACCGUAGGGGAACCUGCGGUUGGAUCACCUCCUUA
rnacentral:rRNA from 1 species